UGGGGAAUAUUGGGCAAUGGGCGCAAGCCUGACCCAGCAACGCCGCGUGAAGGAUGAAGGUUUUCGGAUUGUAAACUUCUGUCGCGAGGGACGAAGAAUGACGGUACCUCGUAAGAAAGCCCCGGCUAACUACGUGCCAGCAGCCGCGGUAAUACGUAGGGGGCGAGCGUUGUCCGGAAUGACUGGGCGUAAAGGGAGUGUAGGCGGCUUUAUAAGUUAGAUGUGAAAACCCGCGGCUUAACCGCGGAACUGCAUCUAAAACUGUAGAGCUGGAGUGCAGGAGAGGUGAGUGGAAUUCCUAGUGUAGCGGUGGAAUGCGUAGAUAUUAGGAGGAACACCGGAGGCGAAGGCGACUCACUGGACUGUAACUGACGCUGAGGCUCGAAAGCGUGGGGAGCAAACAGGAUUAGAUACCC
rnacentral:rRNA from 1 species